rnacentral:rRNA from 1 species
AUGCUAGUCGCACGAGUUCAGACGCGUGGCGAAUAGCUCAGUAACACGUGGCCAAACUACCCUUCGGAGCACGAUACCCUCGGGAAACUGAGGCUAAUAGUGCAUACCACAAUCCAGCUGGAAUGAGGAUUGUGCCAAACGCUCCGGCGCCGAAGGAUGUGGCUGCGGCCGAUUAGGUAGACGGUGGGGUAACGGCCCACCGUGCCAAUAAUCGGUACGGGUCAUGAGAGUGAGAACCCGGAGACGGAAUCUGAGACAAGAUUCCGGGCCCUACGGGGCGCAGCAGGCGCGAAACCUUUACACUGCACGCCAGUGCGAUAAGGGAAUCCCAAGUGCGCAGGCAUAGAGCCUGCGCUUUUGUCCACCGUAGGGAGGUGGACGAAUAAGGGCUGGGCAAGACCGGUGCCAGCCGCCGCGGUAAUACCGGCAGCCCGAGUGAUGGCCGAUCUUAUUGGGCCUAAAGCGUCCGUAGCUGGCCGCGCAAGUCCAUCGGAAAAUCCACCCGCUCAACGGGUGGGCGUCCGGUGGAAACUGCG